rnacentral:rRNA from 2 species
UUAAGCGACUAAGCGUACACGGUGGAUGCCCUGGCAGUCAGAGGCGAUGAAGGACGUGCUAAUCUGCGAUAAGCGUCGGUAAGGUGAUAUGAACCGUUAUAACCGGCGAUUUCCGAAUGGGGAAACCCAGUGUGAUUCGUCACACUAUCAUUAACUGAAUCCAUAGGUUAAUGAGGCGAACCGGGGGAACUGAAACAUCUAAGUACCCCGAGGAAAAGAAAUCAACCGAGAUUCCCCCAGUAGCGGCGAGCGAACGGGGAGCAGCCCAGAGCCUGAAUCAGUGUGUGUGUUAGUGGAAGCGUCUGGAAAGGCGCGCGAUACAGGGUGACAGCCCCGUACACAAAAAUGCACAUGCUGUGAGCUCGAUGAGUAGGGCGGGACACGUGGUAUCCUGUCUGAAUAUGGGGGGACCAUCCUCCAAGGCUAAAUACUCCUGACUGACCGAUAGUGAACCAGUACCGUGAGGGAAAGGCGAAAAGAACCCCGGCGAGGGGAGUGAAAAAGAACCUGAAACCGUGUACGUACAAGCAGUGGGAGCACGCUUAGGCGUGUGACUGCGUACCUUUUGUAUAAUGGGUCAGCGACUUAUAUUCUGUAGCAAGGUUAACCGAAUAGGGGAGCCGAAGGGAAACCGAGUCUUAACUGGGCGUUAAGUUGCAGGGUAUAGACCCGAAACCCGGUGAUCUAGCCAUGGGCAGGUUGAAGGUUGGGUAACACUAACUGGAGGACCGAACCGACUAAUGUUGAAAAAUUAGCGGAUGACUUGUGGCUGGGGGUGAAAGGCCAAUCAAACCGGGAGAUAGCUGGUUCUCCCCGAAAGCUAUUUAGGUAGCGCCUCGUGAAUUCAUCUCCGGGGGUAGAGCACUGUUUCGGCAAGGGGGUCAUCCCGACUUACCAACCCGAUGCAAACUGCGAAUACCGGAGAAUGUUAUCACGGGAGACACACGGCGGGUGCUAACGUCCGUCGUGAAGAGGGAAACAACCCAGACCGCCAGCUAAGGUCCCAAAGUCAUGGUUAAGUGGGAAACGAUGUGGGAAGGCCCAGACAGCCAGGAUGUUGGCUUAGAAGCAGCCAUCAUUUAAAGAAAGCGUAAUAGCUCACUGGUCGAGUCGGCCUGCGCGGAAGAUGUAACGGGGCUAAACCAUGCACCGAAGCUGCGGCAGCGACGCUGAUGCGUUGUUGGGUAGGGGAGCGUUCUGUAAGCCUGCGAAGGUGUGCUGUGAGGCAUGCUGGAGGUAUCAGAAGUGCGAAUGCUGACAUAAGUAACGAUAAAGCGGGUGAAAAGCCCGCUCGCCGGAAGACCAAGGGUUCCUGUCCAACGUUAAUCGGGGCAGGGUGAGUCGACCCCUAAGGCGAGGCCGAAAGGCGUAGUCGAUGGGAAACAGGUUAAUAUUCCUGUACUUGGUGUUACUGCGAAGGGGGGACGGAGAAGGCUAUGUUGGCCGGGCGACGGUUGUCCCGGUUUAAGCGUGUAGGCUGGUUUUCCAGGCAAAUCCGGAAAAUCAAGGCUGAGGCGUGAUGACGAGGCACUACGGUGCUGAAGCAACAAAUGCCCUGCUUCCAGGAAAAGCCUCUAAGCAUCAGGUAACAUCAAAUCGUACCCCAAACCGACACAGGUGGUCAGGUAGAGAAUACCAAGGCGCUUGAGAGAACUCGGGUGAAGGAACUAGGCAAAAUGGUGCCGUAACUUCGGGAGAAGGCACGCUGAUAUGUAGGUGAAGUCCCUCGCGGAUGGAGCUGAAAUCAGUCGAAGAUACCAGCUGGCUGCAACUGUUUAUUAAAAACACAGCACUGUGCAAACACGAAAGUGGACGUAUACGGUGUGACGCCUGCCCGGUGCCGGAAGGUUAAUUGAUGGGGUCAGCGCAAGCGAAGCUCUUGAUCGAAGCCCCGGUAAACGGCGGCCGUAACUAUAACGGUCCUAAGGUAGCGAAAUUCCUUGUCGGGUAAGUUCCGACCUGCACGAAUGGCGUAAUGAUGGCCAGGCUGUCUCCACCCGAGACUCAGUGAAAUUGAACUCGCUGUGAAGAUGCAGUGUACCCGCGGCAAGACGGAAAGACCCCGUGAACCUUUACUAUAGCUUGACACUGAACAUUGAGCCUUGAUGUGUAGGAUAGGUGGGAGGCUUUGAAGUGUGGACGCCAGUCUGCAUGGAGCCGACCUUGAAAUACCACCCUUUAAUGUUUGAUGUUCUAACGUUGACCCGUGAUCCGGGUUGCGGACAGUGUCUGGUGGGUAGUUUGACUGGGGCGGUCUCCUCCUAAAGAGUAACGGAGGAGCACGAAGGUUGGCUAAUCCUGGUCGGACAUCAGGAGGUUAGUGCAAUGGCAUAAGCCAGCUUGACUGCGAGCGUGACGGCGCGAGCAGGUGCGAAAGCAGGUCAUAGUGAUCCGGUGGUUCUGAAUGGAAGGGCCAUCGCUCAACGGAUAAAAGGUACUCCGGGGAUAACAGGCUGAUACCGCCCAAGAGUUCAUAUCGACGGCGGUGUUUGGCACCUCGAUGUCGGCUCAUCACAUCCUGGGGCUGAAGUAGGUCCCAAGGGUAUGGCUGUUCGCCAUUUAAAGUGGUACGCGAGCUGGGUUUAGAACGUCGUGAGACAGUUCGGUCCCUAUCUGCCGUGGGCGCUGGAGAACUGAGGGGGGCUGCUCCUAGUACGAGAGGACCGGAGUGGACGCAUCACUGGUGUUCGGGUUGUCAUGCCAAUGGCACUGCCCGGUAGCUAAAUGCGGAAGAGAUAAGUGCUGAAAGCAUCUAAGCACGAAACUUGCCCCGAGAUGAGUUCUCCCUGACUCCUUGAGAGUCCUGAAGGAACGUUGAAGACGACGACGUUGAUAGGCCGGGUGUGUAAGCGCAGCGAUGCGUUGAGCUAACCGGUACUAAUGAACCGUGAGGCUUAACCUU